AAGUCAUUAGUGGCAGCCAUGGGAAAGCACAGCUCUGCACCCAACUUCGAAAUAACCAAUAUGAGUAUUUCAGAGCACGAGGGUUACCGCAGGGCACUCGGCGAGCACGAGAGAAAGCAAACAAUUGCUUCGCUUGUCUCCCGAGAUGGCUUCUUCCCUUCCCGAAGGCAGCGCCGCGCGCUCGGCGUUAUCGAUGAGCCCGUUGUGCUUUGCCGGUCAGCUGAACGUUAACUCUUUGGGAGGCCGAUUUUUUGCUGAUCAGAAAUGGCCAGAAACAUGAGAAACAGAGUCUCUACCUGUAUUUAGGCAGCUUGGAUUUCUAUUUUGAUCAGCCUCCGGAAAAGCCGAUUUUACUUCAAAGCAUCUCCGAGUCUUGCAGGCGCAGGAAGUUGCUGCCCUAUUAAUAGAGAAAGCAGAAUCCAGCAUCGUCGUCGUACGGAUGCUCUCCGGCAGUACUGACGUGCCGCGUCCUCCCUUGCUCAGCAGAGCCAUCACCACUGCAGGAGCAGCACCCAGGCUGUGUACGUGGUGUUGUGGUCCACAGCGAGCUCCUCCUGCUGCUACCUGCCUGCCUUGCCCCUGACACAUGGGAUGCUGGUCCUGGCCUUGUGCUUGCCCAGCUGUUGGCCUUUGUCACAAGGGGGUGAGAGCAUGUUGAGGGGCUUGGCAGCGAUAAGAUGGACAAAUACUGGUUUGUGGUACUUCAAAGUACUCCUUGAGCUUCUUCUGCCUCUUCUCAGAGAGGGGAAUAACAGAGGAGAGAUUGGGAGCAAGGGCACAGAGGCACAUGGUGGUCUCAAGGCUGGAGAAAUGAUGGGCAGGGAUCUCUGGUCAGAAGAGUCUGUGAAAAGAGAAAAAAACCUUUCCAGAAACACUUUUUUCCACAGUAAGCCUGUCCCUCUUGGUCCCUGUAUCUUAUUCCAGCCCCCAAACCUUCAGAUAAUCUCAGCUCCACCUGAAUGUCAGAGUCACAGAAUGGUUGAGGUAGAAGGGGACCUCUGGAGGUCACCUGCUCCAAGCCAGGCUACCCAGAGCAGGUUGCUCUGGACCUUGUCUCCAACCACAGACGUGGAUCUUAUUUCUAUCAGCAGUCCCAAAAUGUCACUCCUUAGUCCCAGAUUCCCCAAAACUCCUUCCCCUCAUGUUUUCUCUGCUGUUAUUGGAAAAGUUGAAUUUGGUUUCCCCAGGGAUAACAGAAAAUAUUUAUGGAAAGACAAAAGUGAAAUUUAGCCUUCUUUCCCAAGGCCUCUAGAGCCAGCUCUGUAAGCAAUAUGGAAUGUGCAAACAGAGUAUUGAAGGUAACAAAGGAAAAUAUGGUUUUAAAGUAAAAUAUAAGUAAAUAGUCUCAAAAGAUAAAGCACACUGAGUGCUCCCAUCUCUUGGUGCUAAGAUGAAAGCAAGGAGAAAAUAGUGGUGGAAGGAUGUUAGUUCUGCUGCUCCCUCACCACCACAGCUGUUUCCAUUUGUAAACUAAUGAUUUUAGGAUUAUGAAAGCCUGUAGUGAGCAACACAGGUAUUUAUGAUGGGAGUUUCACUCUUGCUGGCUGUAUGAAGUAGGAUGGCUUUGGAAAUGACUAGGGGAAGCGAAAGUUUUGGGGAAAAUUCCUAGGGUUUCUUCUGCAUCCCAUUCUAACCAGAUGUGUCAGUCCAGCCAAAUGAAGGAAGAUGACCUGAGAACAGUAGGUGACAACCUGUGCCUAUAAACAAAUUUCCAAUUUUGAAGCCCUUUCCCUGAGUCUGCACCUAUAAGUGUGCAAAAGAGUAGUGAGUGCAGGUUUGAUAAGCUUUAGAAGGGAACUGAGAACUGGAUUGGUGCCAAGAGAUUUUGGUCAGUUCCUCCUUAAUAAUUAAAAGCUGAAGUUUAUCGCUGCAA